rnacentral:rRNA from 1 species
UACAGAGGUCUCAAGCGUUGUUCGGAUUCAUUGGGCGUAAAGGGUGCGUAGGCGGCGCGGUAAGUCGGGUGUGAAAUCUCGGAGCUUAACUCCGAAACUGCAUUCGAUACUGCCGUGCUUGAGGACUGGAGAGGAGACUGGAAUUUACGGUGUAGCGGUGAAAUGCGUAGAUAUCAGGAAGAACACCCGUGGCGAAGGCGGCUUUCUGGGACGGUACUGACGCUGAGACGCGAAAGCGUGGGGAGCGAACAGG